GCGUCGUCUGAAGAAUCGCUGUCGCAGCUCACGCACUGAGAGCUUUGCGCUUUCUUCCUUUAGCUGUGGGGAAAGUCCCCGGAGAUGCAGAUCAUGCCCUCGUUCACAUCCGGAAAGCGACUGUCUCCAAGCAUGAUAGGCAGGGACGAGGGCGGGAGGAUACUCUGCUUGGGCCUUUUCACUAGGGCUCGUGGCUCACACCUCUCCAAUCUGCCGUGCAUUGCGCGCGUAGAUCAUCUGGCUACGGCACCAAGGUGCGGAGAUAUGAGCACUUUGGAUCGCUCAGGUUUUCGAUAUGUGCAUGCGCGAUAUGUUGCUCAUAGACAAAGUUAUGCGAUUGCGGGUCGGUCGCGACUUGUCAACGGAAUGGGGCUUACUCUCAUUCGACG
rnacentral:RNase_MRP_RNA from 1 species